GACGAACGCUGGCGGCGUGCUUAACACAUGCAAGUCGAACGGAAAGGCCCUGCUUUUGUGGGGUGCUCGAGUGGCGAACGGGUGAGUAACACGUGAGUAACCUGCCCUUGACUUUGGGAUAACUUCAGGAAACUGGGGCUAAUACCGGAUAGGAGCUCCUGCUGCAUGGUGGGGGUUGGAAAUUUUCGGCGGUUGGGGAUGGACUCGCGGCUUAUCAGCUUGUUGGUGGGGUAGUGGCUUACCAAGGCUUUGACGGGUAGCCGGCCUGAGAGGGUGACCGGCCACAUUGGGACUGAGAUACGGCCCAGACUCCUACGGGAGGCAGCAGUGGGGAAUAUUGCACAAUGGGCGGAAUCCUGAUGCAGCAACGCCGCGUGCGGGAUGACGGCCUUCGGGUUGUAAACCGCUUUCGCCUGUGACGAAGCGUGAGUGACGGUAAUGGGUAAAGAAGCACCGGCUAACUACGUG
rnacentral:rRNA from 1 species